GCGCAACCCUUGUUAUUAGUUGCCAGCAUUUAGUUGGGCACUCUAAUGAGACUGCCGGUGAUAAACCGGAGGAAGGUGGGGACGACGUCAGAUCAUCAUGCCCCUUAUGACCUGGGCAACACACGUGCUACAAUGGGAAGUACAACGAGUCGCAAACCGGCGACGGUAAGCUAAUCUCUUAAAACUUCUCUCAGUUCGGACUGGAGUCUGCAACUCGACUCCACGAAGGCGGAAUCGCUAGUAAUCGCGAAUCAGCAUGUCGCGGUGAAUACGUUCCCGGGUCUUGUACACACCGCCCGUCAAAUCAUGGGAGUCGGAAGUACCCAAAGUCGCUUGGCUAACUUUUAGAGGCCGGUGCCUAAGGUAAAAUCGAUGACUGGGAUUAAGUCGUAACAAGGUAGCCGUAGGAGAACCUGCGGCUGGAUCACCUCCUUUCUAAGGA
rnacentral:rRNA from 1 species